rnacentral:tRNA from 1 species
CAAUAUGUAGCUUAAAUAAAGCAUCUCGCUUACACCGAGAGAAUAUCUGUGAAACCCAGAUCAUCUUGA